rnacentral:misc_RNA from 2 species
AACGCAACUUGCGCCCUUUGGUAUUCCGAAGGGCAUGCCUGUUUGAGUGUCAUGUAGAAUCAUCCAAUCAGAUUUCUUGUCUGAUCAAGAUGGAUUUGGAGGUCUUUGCCCUUUGUCGGGCUCCUCUUAAAAGCAUUGUGUAGACGUAAUAAGUUUCGUCGUACGCACAAACGUCCGCAAGGACAACUACUUGUACUCUGACCUCAAAUCAGGUAGGGCUACCCGCUGAACUUAA